rnacentral:rRNA from 1 species
UGGGGAAUAUUGCACAAUGGGCGCAAGCCUGAUGCAGCGAUGCCGCGUGCGGGAUGAAGGCCCUAGGGUUGUAAACCGCUUUCAGCAGGGAAGAAACUGACGGUACCUGCAGAAGAAGGUGCGGCCAACUACGUGCCAGCAGCCGCGGUGACACGUAGGCACCAAGCGUUGUCCGGAUUUAUUGGGCGUAAAGAGCUCGUAGGCGGUUCGGUAAGUCGGGUGUGAAACUCUGGGCUCAACCCAGAGACGCCACCCGAUACUGCUGUGACUUGAGUACGGUAGGGAGUGGGGAAUUCCUGGUGUAGCGGUGAAAUGCGCAGAUAUCAGGAGGAACACCAGUGGCGAAGGCG